CCCGGGAGCCCAGGCCACAGCUGCCUGCAUGCCAGGAUGGUGGCUGCUUGUAUGCUUGCCUCUGUUUAGCCAUGAUAACAUCUCCCAAGACAAUAACUUGGAUCCACCUGCAUAUCAGAUGUCAGGCUGAGGAAAAAAUAACAACUAUACUUUAAAACCUAUUCCAAAAGAACAAAGAAACCGGAACACUCCCUUCCACCUUCUAUGAAGCCAACAUCACCCUGAUACCAAAAGCAGAUAGGGACACAACAAAAUAGGAAAACUGCACAUCAAUAUCUCUGUUGAACAUAAGAUGCUAUAAUACUGAAUAAGAUUCUAGCCAACAAGAUACAGCAGUAUAUAGAAAAGAUUGUUCAUCAUGACCAAGUGAUAUUUAUCCCAGUAAUGUAACGCUGGUUCAUUAUACGUAAGUCAAUCAAUUUCCAUUCACCACAUCAAUAAAAGCAAAACCAAAAACCA